rnacentral:rRNA from 1 species
ACAACCAGGAGGUUGGCUUAGAAGCAGCCAUCCUUUAAAGAAAGCGUAACAGCUCACUGGUCUAGUGAUUCUGCGCGGAAAAUAUAACGGGGCUAAGAUGUACACCGAAGCUUUAGAUUCAAUUUUUAAUUGAGUGGUAGGAGAGCGUUCUAUUCAGCGUUGAAGGUAUACCGGUAAGGAGUGCUGGAGCGGAUAGAAGUGAGCAUGCAGGCAUGAGUAGCGAUAAUUAAGGUGAGAAUCCUUAACGCCGAAAACCCAAGGUUUCCUACGCGAUGCUCGUCAUCGUAGGGUUAGUCGGGUCCUAAGUCGAGUCCGAAAGGGGUAGACGAUGGCAAAUUGGUUAAUAUUCCAAUACCAACAUAUAAGCGCGAUGUGGGGACGCAUAGAGUUAGUCGAGCUCACUGAUGGAAUAGUGGGUCGAAGGACGUAGGUUGAUACUUAGGCAAAUCCGGGUAUCAUAAGACCGAGAUCUUACAGGCUCUUGACACUCUUCGGAGGAGAUGGAGAAUCGAUGAUACUGUCGUGCCAAGAAAAGCCACUAAGUAUAUUGUAUGUUGCCCGUACCGUAAACCGACACAGGUGGGUGGGAUGAGUAUUCUAAGGCGCGUGGAAGAACCCUCUUUAAGGAACUCUGCAAAAUAGCACCGUAUCUUCGGUAUAAGGUGUGCCUACUUUGGUAUAUGGACUUGCUCCAAAAAGCUAGAGAGGUUGCAACAAAGAGUCCCUCCCGACUGUUUACCAAAAACACAGCACUUUGCUAACACGUAAGUGGAUGUAUAAGGUGUGACGCCUGCCCGGUGCUGGAAGGUUAACUGAUGAUGUCAGCGCAAGCGAAGCAUUUGAUUGAAGCCCCAGUAAACGGCGGCCGUAACUAUAACGGUCCUAAGGUAGCGAAAUUCCUUGUCGGUUAAAUACCGACCUGCAUGAAUGGCGUAACGAGAUGGGAGCUGUCUCAACCAGGGAUCCAGUGAAAUUGUAGUGGAGGUGAAAAUUCCUCCUACCCGCGGAAAGACGGAAAGACCCCGUGCACCUUUACUACAGCUUGACACUGUAGCUUGGAUAUUCAUGUGCAGGAUAGGUGGGAGGCUAUGAUGACUAGACGCAAGUAGAGUCGGAGCCAUCCUUGAGAUACCACCCUUGAAUAUUUGAGUUACUAACUGCGUACAAUUAUCUUGUAUCAGGACAAUGUCUGGUGGGUAGUUUGACUGGGGCGGUCGCCUCCUAAAAAGUAACGGAGGCUUACAAAGGUUAGUUCAAAGCGGUUGGAAAUCGCUUGUUGAGUAUAAUGGCAUAAACUAGCUUGACUGUGAGACCUACAAGUCGAACAGAGACGAAAGUCGGUCAUAGUGAUCCGGUGGUUCUGCGUGGAAGGGCCAUCGCUCAAAGGAUAAAAGGUACGCCGGGGAUAACAGGCUGAUCUCCCCCAAGAGCUCACAUCGACGGGGAGGUUUGGCACCUCGAUGUCGGCUCAUCGCAUCCUGGGGCUG